ensembl:lncRNA LINC00989 long intergenic non-protein coding RNA 989
ACUGGGCUCUCUAAAUUCAUUUCAGCUCUAGGGAUUUGGAAAGGAUUCCGUGAUGGUUAAUAUUGAGUGUCAACUUGAUUGGAUUGAAGGAUGCAAAGUAUUGUUCCUGGGUGUGUCUGUGAGGGUGUCACCAAAGGAGAUGAACAUUUGAAUCAGUGAGCUGGGAGACACAAACCCAUACUCAAUCUUGGGGGACACCAUCUAAUCAGCUGCCAGUGCAACUAGGAUAAAAUCAGGCAGAGAAAUUUGGAAAGACUAGACUGGCUGAGUCUUCUGGCCUUCAUCUUUCUCCCAUGCUAGAUGCUUCCUGACCUCGAAUAUCAGACUCCAAGUUCUUUAGCUUUUGGACUCUUGGACCUUUGGCCACAGACGGAAGGCUGCACUUUUGAAGUUUUGGGACUUGGACUGGCUUCCUUGCUCCUCAGCUUACAGAUGGCCUAUUGUGGGACUUCACCUUGUGAUUGUAUCGUGGUCACCAGAUGGCUGUUGCCCUUCCAGGCUUCCAGCUCCUGUGUUCCAGACUGAAGAAGAGGAACAGAAAAAGGUGCUACUUGAAGGGGCACCAAAAAAUCAUGAGCCCAGGACAGGACAGAGGUGGAACUUAUUCUCCAGGUGCUCUACUUUGAAGUCAAGGACAUCUUACCAUCAUCCUGGAGAGCUGGAUCCUCCCAGAGUAAUGCUCAGCGCCUUCUUGCAGAGGGAAGAGUGAGCCUGUGUCGCUUCUCCAUGUCCUGGAGGAGACAGUCUGCACUCAGACUCUGACCAUGUGCUGGUGUCCUGGCUUACCUCCAUUAAGAGUUCAUUUCUGCUCCAUAAAACUACAGGUCACGAGUGCUCUCAUUCCUUUCUUUUUAUAUUAUUCAAUUUUAUUUCUGACAUUUGCCAGGGCACAGGGAAAUAAACCAGUGUUAGUUAAUAUCAACAA